rnacentral:rRNA from 1 species
GACGAACGCUGGCGGCGUGCUUAACACAUGCAAGUCGAACGGAAAGGCCCUGCUUUUGUGGGGUGCUCGAGUGGCGAACGGGUGAGUAACACGUGAGUAACCUGCCCUUGACUUUGGGAUAACUUCAGGAAACUGGGGCUAAUACCGGAUAGGAGCUCCUGCUGCAUGGUGGGGGUUGGAAAGUUUCGGCGGUUGGGGAUGGACUCGCGGCUUAUCAGCUUGUUGGUGGGGUAGUGGCUUACCAAGGCUUUGACGGGUAGCCGGCCUGAGAGGGUGACCGGCCACAUUGGGACUGCGAUACGGCCCAGACUACUACGGGAGGCAGCAGUGGGGAAUAUUGCACAAUGGGCGGAAGCCUGAUGCAGCAACGCCGCGUGCGGGAUGACGGCCGUCGGGUUGUAAACCGCUUUCGCCUGUGACGAAGCGUGAGUGACGGUAAUGGGUAAAGAAGCACCGGCUAACUACGUG